AGUGAACGCUGGCGGUAGGCCUAACACAUGCAAGUCGAACGGCAGCACAGUAAGAGCUUGCUCUUACGGGUGGCGAGUGGCGGACGGGUGAGGAAUACAUCGGAAUCUACUUUUUCGUGGGGGAUAACGUAGGUAAACUUACGCUAAUACAGCAUACGACCUACGGGUGAAAGCAGGGGAUCUUCGGACCUUGCGCGAUUGAAUGAGCCGAUGUCGGAUUAGCUAGUUGGCGGGGUAAAGGCCCACCAAGGCGACGAUCCGUAGCUGGUCUGAGAGGAUGAUCAGCCACACUGGAACUGAGACACGGUCCAGACUCCUACGGGAGGCAGCAGUGGGGAAUAUUGGACAAUGGGCGCAAGCCUGAUCCAGCCAUACCGCGUGGGUGAAGAAGGCCUUCGGGUUGUAAAGCCCUUUUGUUGGGAAAGAAAAGCAGCAGGUUAAUACCCCGCUGUUCUGACGGUACCCAAAGAAUAAGCACCGGCUAACUUCGUG
rnacentral:rRNA from 1 species